rnacentral:rRNA from 1 species
AAGCGGAGGAUGGAAGGAGAAGUCGUAACAAGGUUUCCGUAGGUGAACCUGCGGAAGGAUCAUUG